rnacentral:lncRNA from 1 species
UCUUGCAUUAGUCUAAGGCUAAAGGUCCCUAUGGCUCCAUAGAGUGUGAUUAGGACCUUAUCAGAGUUUUGAAUUUAAGCACCACUGGCAACUAACUAGUGAACUGGAGAAACAAAUCGGAGCUCUCAUAAUAAACUUCUACUUAAAGAAAAUAGUUUUAUUUUCUAAUUUAAUUUAAUUCUAAUUUAAUUUUUCUUAAAAGAAAAAUAAACUUUUUCCUGCCAACACAAGAGCCUUCUUACUAUUCUCUUAGAGAAAGAAGCAAGGCAAUGGUACACAGUAGAAAGAAUUAGGGGUUAUCAAUCAAAAAUUGGUCUCCAACUGCUGUGGGAAAAUCAUUUCAACUUGCUGAGCCUCAGUUUUCCCCUCAGGGGUUAUUAAACCAGACACUAGAGAAUCUCUUGCGUUCCCCCCAGUUCUAAGAGCUGUGAUCCUAGAAAACGAGGAGAUGUUUCUGAGGAAGGAUGAAGAAAAUAUAAUGAAAGAUGAGGGAAGCAAGAAGGAACAGAAUAAUUGCCUCUUCAGCCCUUUGCAAUGCACUGCAUCGAGGAUUUCAACAAGGACUCUGGAGUUCGGAGGUGAAUUUCCCCUGAGUUGCUCCUGGCUACAUCUUGACCUAGAAAGCUGGAUAAAAUCUCUCAUCUGAAGUGGUCUGUGAAAGUGACCACUGUUCCCCUCCCAGAGCAGCACUCAUCACCCGUCCCUAAGGCCAACACCCAUGGCGGGCAGGGCAGUGGCACGGGAAACAGCUGGAGCUUCCAAAAAGCUGCCAGUCCCUGUGUCUGGAAAAGGAGAAGUGGGGGUAGGUAGAAUUUCAUAAUCACAGAGAGCAAGGAAGAGAAAGAAACCAUUGUCUGCCUGAAGCCAGGUUUCCUGAUCUGAUUCCCAGAAAUCUCACUCUUCUCCAAAUAUCCAAGGCCAGGGGUUUGCUCCAAACCCAUCCUGAGGAGCACCUUUAAAAAAAAUCACAGUCAUCAGUUCAAAAGAAUUUGUAGCUAAAAAUGUUCUUCAUUUAAAAAAAAAAAAUUGUCUCCACAUAGGUGAGUACCUACCAUUCGCUUAGCAUUUAAAAGUUUUAAGUUACACCAGUCCUGGAGAAGCUUUUAACUGGUCUCUACUUGUUUUACUGAAAUUAGAAUAUGCAGCCACAAAGUAAAUUUGGUUAUGGUUAUAUUACCUAUAAGAUAGCUUAAUUUAGAGGGAAAUCACCAUGCUUUUUUAGCCAACUUUGUUUUUCAUGUAAAAUUAAAACAGCCAAAGAGACAAAACCAUUUUAUUUAAAAAAGAUUUACAAUUUUAAAUAAAAUGUAAUUGCUAAGACUAAGUUCCAGUCCCUGUGCUCUUUAAUAGUUCGUAACACCUUGUUUUCUCGCGUAGGACCUGCCUGGUUCCUGACCUGGGCGCUAGCCUGCCUCAUUAGCUCUGUCAUUAGAUCAAGAGCUCUGUGAGCUCAGGCCCCUGUC